GAGGUUAAGCGACUAAGCGUACACGGUGGAUGCCCUGGCAGUCAGAGGCGAUGAAGGACGUGCUAAUCUGCGAUAAGCGCCGGUAAGGUGAUAUGAACCGUUAUAACCGGCGAUUUCCGAAUGGGGAAACCCAGUGUGACUCGUCACACUAUCAUUAACUGAAUCCAUAGGUUAAUGAGGCGAACCGGGGGAACUGAAACAUCUAAGUACCCCGAGGAAAAGAAAUCAACCGAGAUUCCCCCAGUAGCGGCGAGCGAACGGGGAGGAGCCCAGAGCCUGAAUCAGCAUGUGUGUUAGUGGAAGCGUCUGGAAAGGCGCGCGAUACAGGGUGACAGCCCCGUACACAAAAGCGCAUGUGCUGUGAGCUCGAUGAGUAGGGCGGGACACGUGGUAUCCUGUCUGAAUAUGGGGGGACCAUCCUCCAAGGCUAAAUACUCCUGACUGACCGAUAGUGAACCAGUACCGUGAGGGAAAGGCGAAAAGAACCCCGGCGAGGGGAGUGAAAAAGAACCUGAAACCGUGUACGUACAAGCAGUGGGAGCACCCUUUGGGGUGUGACUGCGUACCUUUUGUAUAAUGGGUCAGCGACUUAUAUUCUGUAGCAAGGUUAACCGAAUAGGGGAGCCGGAGGGAAACCGAGUCUUAAUUGGGCGUUAAGUUGCAGGGUAUAGACCCGAAACCCGGUGAUCUAGCCAUGGGCAGGUUGAAGGUUGGGUAACACUAACUGGAGGACCGAACCGACUAAUGUUGAAAAAUUAGCGGAUGACCUGUGGCUGGGGGUGAAAGGCCAAUCAAACCGGGAGAUAGCUGGUUCUCCCCGAAAGCUAUUUAGGUAGCGCCUCGUGAAUUCAUCUCCGGGGGUAGAGCACUGUUUCGGCUAGGGGGCCAUCCCGGCUUACCAACCCGAUGCAAACUGCGAAUACCGGAGAAUGUUAUCACGGGAGACACACGGCGGGUGCUAACGUCCGUCGUGAAGAGGGAAACAACCCAGACCGCCAGCUAAGGUCCCAAAGUCAUGGUUAAGUGGGAAACGAUGUGGGAAGGCCCAGACAGCCAGGAUGUUGGCUUAGAAGCAGCCAUCAUUUAAAGAAAGCGUAAUAGCUCACUGGUCGAGUCGGCCUGCGCGGAAGAUGUAACGGGGCUAAACCAUGCACCGAAGCUGCGGCAGCGACGCUGAUGCGUUGUUGGGUAGGGGAGCGUUCUGUAAGCCUGUGAAGGUGGCCUGUGAGGGUUGCUGGAGGUAUCAGAAGUGCGAAUGCUGACAUAAGUAACGAUAAAGCGGGUGAAAAGCCCGCUCGCCGGAAGACCAAGGGUUCCUGUCCAACGUUAAUCGGGGCAGGGUGAGUCGACCCCUAAGGCGAGGCCGAAAGGCGUAGUCGAUGGGAAACGGGUUAAUAUUCCCGUACUUGGUGUUACUGCGAAGGGGGGACGGAGAAGGCUAUGUUGGCCGGGCGACGGUUGUCCCGGUUUAAGCGUGUAGGUGUGUGUUCCAGGUAAAUCCGGUUCACUUUAACACUGAGGCGUGAUGACGAGGCACUACGGUGCUGAAGCAACAAAUGCCCUGCUUCCAGGAAAAGCCUCUAAGCAUCAGGUAACAUCAAAUCGUACCCCAAACCGACACAGGUGGUCAGGUAGAGAAUACCAAGGCGCUUGAGAGAACUCGGGUGAAGGAACUAGGCAAAAUGGUGCCGUAACUUCGGGAGAAGGCACGCUGACACGUAGGUGAAGUGAUUUACUCAUGGAGCUGAAGUCAGUCGAAGAUACCAGCUGGCUGCAACUGUUUAUUAAAAACACAGCACUGUGCAAACACGAAAGUGGACGUAUACGGUGUGACGCCUGCCCGGUGCCGGAAGGUUAAUUGAUGGGGUCAGCGCAAGCGAAGCUCCUGAUCGAAGCCCCGGUAAACGGCGGCCGUAACUAUAACGGUCCUAAGGUAGCGAAAUUCCUUGUCGGGUAAGUUCCGACCUGCACGAAUGGCGUAAUGAUGGCCAGGCUGUCUCCACCCGAGACUCAGUGAAAUUGAACUCGCUGUGAAGAUGCAGUGUACCCGCGGCAAGACGGAAAGACCCCGUGAACCUUUACUAUAGCUUGACACUGAACAUUGAGCCUUGAUGUGUAGGAUAGGUGGGAGGCUUUGAAGUGUGGACGCCAGUCUGCAUGGAGCCGGCCUUGAAAUACCACCCUUUAAUGUUUGAUGUUCUAACGUGGACCCGUGAUCCGGGUUGCGGACAGUGUCUGGUGGGUAGUUUGACUGGGGCGGUCUCCUCCUAAAGAGUAACGGAGGAGCACGAAGGUUGGCUAAUCCUGGUCGGACAUCAGGAGGUUAGUGCAAUGGCAUAAGCCAGCUUGACUGCGAGCGUGACGGCGCGAGCAGGUGCGAAAGCAGGUCAUAGUGAUCCGGUGGUUCUGAAUGGAAGGGCCAUCGCUCAACGGAUAAAAGGUACUCCGGGGAUAACAGGCUGAUACCGCCCAAGAGUUCAUAUCGACGGCGGUGUUUGGCACCUCGAUGUCGGCUCAUCACAUCCUGGGGCUGAAGUAGGUCCCAAGGGUAUGGCUGUUCGCCAUUUAAAGUGGUACGCGAGCUGGGUUUAGAACGUCGUGAGACAGUUCGGUCCCUAUCUGCCGUGGGCGCUGGAGAACUGAGGGGGGCUGCUCCUAGUACGAGAGGACCGGAGUGGACGCAUCACUGGUGUUCGGGUUGUCAUGCCAAUGGCACUGCCCGGUAGCUAAAUGCGGAAGAGAUAAGUGCUGAAAGCAUCUAAGCACGAAACUUGCCCCGAG
rnacentral:rRNA from 1 species